GACGAACGCUGGCGGCGUGCCUAAUACAUGCAAGUUGAGCGAUGAAGAUUGGUGCUUGCACCAAUUUGAAGAGCAGCGAACGGGUGAGUAACGCGUGGGGAAUCUGCCUUUGAGCGGGGGACAACAUUUGGAAACGAAUGCUAAUACCGCAUAACAACUUUAAACAUAAGUUUUAAGUUUGAAAGAUGCAAUUGCAUCACUCAAAGAUGAUCCCGCGUUGUAUUGGCUAGUUGGUGAGGUAAAGGCUCACCAAGGCGAUGAUACAUAGCCGACCUGAGAGGGUGAUCGGCCACAUUGGGACUGAGACACGGCCCAAACUCCUUCGGGAGGCAGCAGUAGGGAAUCUUCGGCAAUGGACGAAAGUCUGACCGAGCAACGCCGCGUGAGUGAAGAAGGUUUUCGGAUCGUAAAACUCUGUUGGUAGAGAAGAACGUUGGUGAGAGUGGAAAGCUCAUCAAGUGACGGUAACUACCCAGAAAGGGACGGCUAACUACGUG
rnacentral:rRNA from 1 species